AGCCGCUGUAUUAUGACGGUGCUAAGGUAGUGAAAUUCCUAGCCUCUUAAUUAGAGGCCUGCAUGAACGGCUUGACGAGCGCCUUGCUGUCUCCUUUUCAUGGUGUUUGAAAUUAACUUUUGUGUGCAAAGGCACAAAUGGCUGAGUUAGACGAAAAGACCCUGUGCAUCUUUACCGGGGCAAAAGUGAGUUUUUUAACNUGGUUAAGCUGGGGCAGCUGAGGAAAAAUUAAAAUUUCUUUAUUAUUUUUUUACCGGUGGGUUUAGAUCCAGUGUCGGUGUAGGGGCAUUGAUAGGUAGAAAAGUUACGCCAGGGAUAACAGCGUUAUCCUUCCGUGGAGGCCUUAUUUGCGGGAGGGAUUGCGACCUCGAUGUUGAAUUAGGGAUAUACCAAAAAGGCGCAGAA
rnacentral:rRNA from 1 species